AGGAACAAAUUAUAGCUUCUAAGAUCCUCAUAUACAUAUUGACCAUUGUUCUUCUAUUAGUAAUAAUGGUUGCAAUUAUUGCCUCCUACUUCGGGCUUAUCUUUUUAAAACUUCUUCUAUUGUGUUAUUUUAUAAAUAGCAAGUUUAAUUUAAUUUUAUUUAUUUUUCCUUGGCGCGGACUGUGUAUUUAGAGGUCAGGUGGGCUUCUGAGAGGGCUUGCUCAAGAACUCUUCUAGAAGGAGAAAGGAAAUCCACCUUACUGUAGGAUUCUGACAGGCGGAGUACCCAGAGGGGAGAGGCAGCUGCUAGCAGUGUGGGUUAUCUAGGCUUUGAAAGGUUCCCACAAAGGGCAGGGGGCAAGCCAAGUAAAAUAAUCUGAAUACUACUGUAUGCAAAACAUUCUGAGGGAAUCUUGAACUCUGCCUUCUUGACAUGGCCAAAGUAAAAGCCAGGGACAUAUGCAUGAAGUCCCUUUGAACUGGUAGAAGAAAUUCCUAGGCACUGAUUAGACCCUUAGUUUCAAGAAUGACGCAUUCUUAGCAAGCCUGGGAGCCCCAUGGAUCCCACAGCCCAUAUUCCAGCACAGCGUCAAUAAAACAGGUGUGAACUAUGCUUGGCUAUGUAGCUAGCCCAGGCACCAGUUACUCAAGCUGCUUCCAAAUCUAUUCCAGUCCGCCAAAGAAAACUCAAAAACAUUUAAAAAUGUUUUUCUUCUUUAUAAUCAACAUCCUAAUAAUUGGCUAAGCCUGUGCAGCUGGUGGCACUGUGGCACCCUCCUGGCCUCCAGCCUGCAGACCACCUGCGAAGGCCCGAGGCAGCAAUUUCAAGGUCAUUGUCUCACUUUAGCCCACCAGAGGCCACAUGUUUGUCACACUUUCUUGCAGAACCUGAUGUCCCUGUGUGUGUGGGGGUGUCCCAAAAUUCCCUUGGUUGUUCCCAGGGAUGGGUGAUGCUGCUGACCUAAAGGCCACUGAUGGCGUUCAGAAAGAAGAGAAAGGAGGCAGUGAAUUCACGCCAGAGCAUCAGGGUGAAGACGAUGAGUGUGAUCUAGUUCCUGAGGAGGAUCAUAAAACUCAGGAGCUCCCGCAGGAGAGGGUGAAAGAGACCGGAGGAAGACGGACCCCAUGGCCCACCUGCGCCAUAAGUGGACGUCCUCACACACCCAGGACACCACAAGGCCCUCCAGGCCAAACAUGGCGGCCACCACGGCCAAAACGCCCACGCGGGCCUGGUCACGUGGGCCUGACCCAGGUCUCUGAGGCAGCGUGGCUCACUCUGAUUGGUGGAGGUGCCGUAGUGCGCAGCGCGAAGAGGCGGAGCCAGCACCCAUCACAGGUGGAGAUACAGGAGAGAAUCACUGCCCGAGGCCACAUACCAGACAACGAGGGUCAGGAAGGAGGAUUCAAUGAAGGACGGGCGGGACCUCCUUUGGCCCAACAGCCUCUGGGUUUACAAGCUGCGCCCAUCCCGCUGGGGCUCAGCUGCGCGCCGCAGCCUCGCUCCCUCCCGCCGAUCGGCUGUGGCGGGGCUGCCCAUGGUUCCAAGAUGCCAUGCACCCUGCUGUCUUUAUGGAGACCAUCGUGGUGAUGAGGAAGCACGUUUGUGCAGAUGAUAGUUCAAAAAAUUAAUCUCCAUUAAGAAGGGCAUGCACCAGACAAAAUACUGCAGUGUCAACAGUCAAGAAAGACAUAAAGUACUCAGGAUAAAACUGAUACAACUGUCAAAUUACAAGCUUUGUGAUUGAUAUGGACACUGUCUGAAAUUCUAUAUUCUACAGCAGCAAGGAUU